CAGUCGCCACGGUAAUACAGAGGGUGCGAGCGUUAAUCGGAUUUACUGGGCGUAAAGCGUGCGUAGGCGGCUUUUUAAGUCGGAUGUGAAAUCCCUAAGCUUAACUUAGGAAUUGCAUUCGAUACUGGGAAGCUAGAGUAUGGGAGAGGAUGGUAGAAUUCCAGGUGUAGCGGUGAAAUGCGUAGAGAUCUGGAGGAAUACCGAUGGCGAAGGCAGCCAUCUGGCCUAAUACUGACGCUGAGGUACGAAAGCAUGGGGAGCAAACAGGAUUAGAUACCCGUGUAGUCCCUGUCUCUUAUAA
rnacentral:rRNA from 1 species